AGCAUGAUAGCUGUGUCAAAUGGUGGCUCCAUUCCAACUUUUCUAAGGAAUCUCCAUACUGCUUUCCAGAUUGGCUACACCAAUUUGCAGUCCCACCAGCAAU
rnacentral:pre_miRNA from 1 species